GACGAACGCUGGCGGCGUGCUUAACACAUGCAAGUCGAACGGAAAGGCCCUGCUUUUGUGGGGUGCUCGAGUGGCGAACGGGUGAGUAACACGUGAGUAACCUGCCCUUGACUUUGGGAUAACUUCAGGAAACUGGGGCUAAUACCGGAUAGGAGCUCCUGCUGCAUGGUGGGGGUUGGAAAGUUUCGGCGGCUGGGGAUGGACUCGCGGCUUAUCAGCUUGUUGGUGGGGUAGUGGCUUACCAAGGCUUUGACGGGUAGCCGGCCUGAGAGGGUGACCGGCCACAUUGGGACUGAGAUACGGCCCAGACUCCUACGGGAGGCAGCAGUGGGGAAUAUUGCACAAUGGGCGGAAGCCUGAUGCAGCAACGCCGCGUGCGGGAUGACGGCCUUCGGGUUGUAAACCGCUUUCGCCUGUGACGAAGCGUGAGUGACGGUAAUGGGUAAAGAAGCACCGGCUAACUACGUGCCAGCAGCCGCGGUGAUACGUAGGGUGCGAGCGUUGUCCGGAUUUAUUGGGCGUAAAGGGCUCGUAGGUGGUUGAUCGCGUCGGAAGUGUAAUCUUGGGGCUUAACCCUGAGCGUGCUUUCGAUACGGGUUGACUUGAGGAAGGGUAGGGGAGAAUGGAAUUCCUGGUGGAGCGGUGGAAUGCGCAGAUAUCAGGAGGAACACCAGUGGCGAAGGCGGUUCUCUGGGCCUUUCCUGACGCUGAGGAGCGAAAGGCGUGGGGAGCGAACAGGCUUAGAUACCCUGGUAGUCCACGCUGUAAACGGUGAGUACUAGGUGUGGGGUCCAUUCCACGGGUUCCGUGCCGUAGCUAACGCUUUAAGUACCCCGCCUGGGGAGUACGGCCGCAAGGCUAAAACUCAAAGGAAUUGACGGGGCCCCGCACAAGCGGCGGAGCAUGCGGAUUAAUUCGAUGCAACGCGUAGAACCUUACCUGGGUUUGACAUGGAUCGGGAGUGCUCAGAGAUGGGUGUGCCUCUUUUGGGGUCGGUUCACAGGUGGUGCAUGCCUGUCGUCAGCUCGUGUCGUGAGAUGUUGGGUUAAGUCCCGCAACGAGCGCAACCCUUGUUCACUGUUGCCAGCACGUUAUGGUGGGGACUCAGUGGAGACCGCCGGGGUCAACUCGGAGGAAGGUGGGGAUGACGUCAAGUCAUCAUGCCCCUUAUGUCCAGGGCUUCACGCAUGCUACAAUGGCUGGUACAGAGAGUGGCGAGCCUGUGAGGGUGAGCGAAUCUCGGAAAGCCGGUCUCAGUUCGGAUUGGGGUCUGCAACUCGACCUCAUGAAGUCGGAGUCGCUAGUAAUCGCAGAUCAGCAACGCUGCGGUGAAUACGUUCCCGGG
rnacentral:rRNA from 1 species